CGGGUAGUAUCCCCCGGGGGAACUGCACCGCCUGUAGUUAAUUUAAAACCGCAAAGAUGUUUCCGCUUGGAACCAUACGGACCGAGACGGGAGG
rfam:Desulfotomaculum hydrothermale Lam5 = DSM 18033, WGS project CAOS01000000 data, contig: ABX_2590_4